CCAAUAGCGUAUAUUAAAGUUGUUGCAGUUAAAAAGCUCGUAGUUGAAUUUCGAGACCGGUUUAUUGGUCGUGCUUUUGUACGUACUGGUAUUAUUGGUUUCUCCUUUCUGACGAAUCUUAAUGCCAUUAAUUUGGUGUUUUGGGGAAUCAGGACUUUUACUUUGAAAAAAUUAGAGUGUUUAAAGCAGGCUCACGCUUGAAUACAUUAGCAUGGAAUAACGGAAUAGGACGUUUGAUUCUAUUUUGUUGGUUUCUAGGAUCGACGUAAUGAUUAAUAGGGAUAGUUGGGGGCAUUAGUAUUCAAUUGUCAGAGGUGAAAUUCUUGGAUUUAUUGAAGACUAACUACUGCGAAAGCAUUUGCCAAGGAUGUUUUCAUUAAUCAAGAACGAAAGUUAGGGGAUCGAAGACGAUCAGAUACCGUCGUAGUCUUAACCAUAAACUAUGCCGACUAGGGAUCGGAUGAUGUUAAUUUUUUAAUGACUCAUUCGGCGCCUUACG
rnacentral:rRNA from 1 species